rnacentral:rRNA from 1 species
CCUACGGGAGGCAGCAGUGAGGAAUAUUGGUCAAUGGACGCAAGUCUGAACCAGCCAUGCCGCGUGCAGGAAGACGGCUCUAUGAGUUGUAAACUGCUUUUGUACGGGGGUAAACGCAGAUACGUGUAUCUGUCUGAAAGUAUCUUACGAAUAAGGAUCGGCUAACUCCGUGCCAGCAGCCGCGGUAAUACGGAAGAUGCAAGCGUUAUCCGGAUUUUUUGGGUUUAAAGGGUGCGUAGGCGGUCGGGUAAGUUAGAGGUGAAAACCCGAGGCUUAACUUCGGAAUUGCCUUUGAUACUGUUCGGCUAGAGUGCAGUUGAGGUAGGCGGAAUGUAUGGUGUAGCGGUGAAAUGCUUAGAGAUCAUACAGAACACCGAUUGCGAAGGCAGCUUACCAGGCUACUUCUGACGUUGAGGCACGAAAGCGUGGGGAGCAAACAGGAUUAGAUACCCUUGUAGUC